GCAGCUUCAAUACAACAAUUUUGUUUGCAGGAACAUUAAUGGAUUAAACACGACAGAGCAUGUGACAUAAACUUUAUAAAACACGUCAGAUUACCAGAUCAUGUUGAUAAGCAAACCACACAGAAACCACGCGUAAUGGUACAAGAGCAAGUGUCCUCCAGGGCUGGUCCCUUAGCCUCCAGGGGUACACCACUUAAGGUUAUUCCAGGCUCCAAGAUAAAAGAGUAACCAAGUUUGUAUUAAUGCAUGAAGUAAAAUUACAGUAAAGCAAGUCUUAACAAGACGUAAUGAUCAUAGUCUUGAUCUUUUAAAAGAAAUUACAUAAGAGCAUAACCCAUGCUUUAGCUAACAAUGUCGCCCCUUAUAUAAGGGUGACGACGGAGAUAUCUAUAUGCAGAAAUAGAUAAAACAACGAUCCCUCAGGAUCCUUGGAUCAAGGAUCCUGAGGGAUUCGCAAAAUCAUUAAUCCUGAGUCACUUCUUCUCUUUUCUGCAUCGAGCUGGUAUCUCCGCUUCCUUUCCUGGGUUGGUCGAUUUUGAUCUAGUUUGCAUGCGGUCUCUCGUCAAAGGGACAACAGUUAACCCAUCUUUGUCUUUUCCUUUAGGAUGGCCACUUUUCGUUUUUCCUCCCUCAUGUACAUGGAAAUGACAAUUGUUAGCGUUCUAUAUUAAUCUCACAUGUUUCGUUAUAAUUCUUUAUCAUUUUCUAAGUUCAUAAUGCAAAAAGGAUUAUAAAUCCUAAUGAAAAGAUACUGAAAUAACCAUCAAAACAUACCUUCUUUGAUACUCCACAAUUGCAUCAGGUCUCCAAGGUAAAUAAUCACUGCUCAAUAGAUCAAUGUAGGUAAGGGAGGUUGGAAAAAUGGAUCCAUAACUUUGAGAAAAGGAUUGGAUCUAUGGAUCGGUCCUUGGGGUCCACGCCCUCAACUCGUCGGCUGUCGGUAGUCUGUCCAAGCUGUGCUUGCACCAAGGGUGGGCAGUGACGUAUCGAUUGGGCUACGAGUGUAGAACGCCCCCUACGAGGGGCUUUUCCCUAGGCUACGAAUAGUUGACUUAGAGCUGGUAUGAACAAGGGGAAUCCAACUAUUUAAUUAAAACAAAGCAUUGCAAUGGUCCUUGUGGAUGUUGAUGCAAUAUGAUUUCUGGCCAAUGCUUUGAAUGUGAAAGUGAAGAAAUUCAACCAAGCAUGGGUAAAUGGAGGGAGUAAAUAUGACUCUCUUAAGGUAGCCAAAUUCCUCGUCAUCUAACUAGUGAUGCGCAUGAAUGCAUAACGAUAUUCCCACUCUCCCUAUAUACUAUCUAGUGAAACCACAACCAAGGGAGAGGGCUUGGAAGAAUCAAUGGGGAAAGAGGACCCUAUUGAGCUUGACUCUAAUUCAACUUUGUGAAAUAACUUGGGAGGUGUAUAAUAAGUGGGAUUCAUUUUCAUUGCAAGUGAAAUACUACUACUUUUAACGUUAUUUUACUUAUUUAGUGCAACAGAGAUGGGGAACUACCCUUUUUUUUGGUCUUAAGGCAGAUUUUUGUGGGUUGAUCUAGGCGGAAGACAUUGUUAGGUGGGGAGUUUGGCUGGGGGGACACAUUUGUUAAAAGUUAAUGUAGGUGUCGUAAGAUUAGCUCAGUGAGAACAAAAUUCUUGUGUGGAACAAAAGGGUAAAAGCUCAUUUGAUUUUGAUUUUCAUUACGAAUACAAACAGUGAAAGUGUGGCCUAUCGAUCCUUUAGAUUUUUAGAAUUUGAAGCUAAAGGUAUAAAAAAAGUUACCAUAGGGAUAACUUGCUUGUGGCAGCCAAGCAUUCAUAGCGAUGUUGCUUUUUGAUCCUUCAAUGUUGGUUCUUCCUACCAUUGUGAAGCAAAAUUCACCAAGUGUUGGAUUGUUCACCCACCAAUAGGGAUUGUGAGCUGCAUUUUUAUCGUCAUGAGAUAGGUUAGUUUUACCCUACUGAUGAACUGCAGCAUAAUAGUAAUUCAACUUAGUAUGAGAGGAACUAUUGAUUCACAAAAUUGGUCAUCGCGCUUGGUUGAAAAGCUAGUCGCAUGAAGCUACCGUGUGUCAGAUUAUUAUUGAAUGCCUCUAAGUCAGAAUCCAUGCUAGAAGCGGUGCAUGUCACUCUUCGACUAUAUCUCGACCUACAAUAGGGGCAUCGCUUUUUUUCCCUUAGGGGUCCUUGUCAUUUUCAAACCAUGAUCGUGAAGCAUCUUGGUGAGGGCAGCUUUGAAGUUCAAUUCCAAAUGGUCGUUGAGAAGAAUCCUUUGGAGAUGACUUGAAUACGCGACAGGGUAUUAUACAUGGCAGAAUGGCCUUACUGCCAUGAUCCACUAAGAUUUAGCCCUUGGGCGCCUCAAUUCAGAGCUUUUCU
rnacentral:rRNA from 1 species